rnacentral:rRNA from 1 species
GAUGAACGCUGGCGGCGUGCCUAUUACAUGCAAGUCGAGCGAACAGAUGAGGAGCUUGCUCCUCUGACGUUAGCGGCGGACGGGUGAGUAACACGUGGAUAACCUACCUAUAAGACUGGGAUAACUUCGGGAAACCGGAGCUAAUACCGGAUAAUAUAUUGAACCGCAUGGUUCAAUAGUGAAAGACGGUUUUGCUGUCACUUAUAGAUGGAUCCGCGCCGCAUUAGCUAGUUGGUAAGGUAACGGCUUACCAAGGCAACGAUGCGUAGCCGACCUGAGAGGGUGGUCGGCCACACUGGAACUGGGACACGGUCCAGGCUCCUACGGGAGGCAGCAGUAGGGAAUCUUCCGCGAUGGGCGAAAGCCUGACGGAGCAACGCCGCGUGAGUGAUGAAGGUCUUCGGAUCGUAAAACUCUGUUAUUAGGGAAGAACAAAUGUGUAAGUAACUAUGCACGUCUUGACGGUACCUAAUCAGAAAGCCACGGCUAACUACGUG